rnacentral:lncRNA from 1 species
CUCAGCUGCAGCAUGCACAGCCCCGUCAGUGAGGAAGAUGUUCAACACCUGCUUAAAUGUCUUGACGGAAGAAACAUCAAUGAGUGAGGAAGGAAGACAUAAGGGCAAACAGUCCGGUACAGCUGGGAUUGCAGGUCACUUAAAAGAAAUUAUCCUGUUUGUAAGCAUCGAAAUACAUCUGGGAUGCCUGUCUUCAGAAACAUUCUUUAUAAAUGUUAACCAGACAAAUAUCUGUGGAGUAACACCUAGGCGAAACUACCUGGAGGCAUCUGGAUUUUCUCAUAAGGAAGUCUUCUCAGUCUGGGACACAUUAUACGGGUAAAUUGUUUUUUAUAUUCUUUUAUUAUUUUUUCAUCUAUACC